rnacentral:rRNA from 1 species
CUAAGAAUAUUCCGCAAUGGACGAAAGUCUGACGGAGCGACGCCGCGUGGAUGAAGAAGGCCGAAAGGUUGUAAAGUUCUUUUGUUGGGGAAGAAUAACCAUGGGAGGGAAUGCCCGUGGGAUGACAUGAACCGACGAAUAAGCCCCGGCUAACUACGUGCCAGCAGCCGCGGUAACACGUAGGGGGCGAGCGUUGUUCGGAAUUACUGGGCGUAAAGGGCAUGUAGGCGGUCUUGUAAGCUUGGCGUGAAAGACCACGGCUCAACCGUGGGAUUGCGUUGAGAACUGCGAGGCUUGAGUGACGGAGAGGGAGCUAGAAUUCCUGGUGUAGGGGUGGAAUCUGUAGAGAUCAGGAAGAAUACCAAUGGCGAAGGCAAGCUCCUGGCCGAUGACUGACGCUGAGGUGCGAAAGUGUGGGGAUCAAACAG